rnacentral:rRNA from 1 species
UAAGGAAUAUUGGUCAAUGGGCGGGAGCCUGAACCAGCCAAGCCGCGUGAGGGAUGAAGGCCCUAUGGGUCGUAAACCUCUUUUGUCAGGGAACAAAAGCGAGUAUGUAUACUAGUCUGAGUGUACCUGAAGAAAAAGCAUCGGCUAACUCCGUGCCAGCAGCCGCGGUAAUACGGAGGAUGCGAGCGUUAUCCGGAUUUAUUGGGUUUAAAGGGUGCGUAGGCGGACUGUUAAGUCAGCGGUCAAAUGUCGGUGCUCAACGCCGGCCUGCCGUUGAAACUGCAGUGCUAGAGAAGGCGAGAGGUACGCGGAAUGCGCAGUGUAGCGGUGAAAUGCUUAGAUAUUGCGCAGAACUCCGAUUGCGAAGGCAGCGUACUGGCGCCUGACUGACGCUGAGGCACGAAAGCGUGGGGAUCGAACAGGAUUAGAUACC